GGAUGUGAGGGUGAUCUGGCUGCGACAUCUGUCAUCCCAUUGAUUGCCAGAGUUCAUUCGGCUGAUCUGGCUGGCUAGGUGGGUGUCCCCUUCCUCCCUCAACGAUCCAUGUGCAUCCAUCCCGAAGCGGCGCGCUCGGUCAAAGAGGACGGCCAUCCCCAAUAGAGGAGGACCGUCUCUUGGUCAAGGGUAUAUGAGUACCUGCGCUCCCCUGGUAGAACCUCCAAACAAGCUCUCAAGGUCCAUUCAACUCAGCAAUUUCAUUCAAAGGUAACUGUGGAAUACCUAUACAGUGGAAUGUUAUUCAGCAGUAAAAGGAACAAACUGUUACAUGCAGCAAUAUUGAAAAAAAU
rnacentral:snRNA from 1 species